rnacentral:rRNA from 1 species
CGCUAGUAAUCGCGCAUCAGCCAUGGCGCGGUGAAUACGUUCCCGGGCCUUGUACACACCGCCCGUCAAGCCAUGGAAGCCGGGAGUACCUGAAGAUCGUGACCGCGAGGAACGGGCUAGGGUAAUACCGGUAACUGGGGCUAAGUCGUAACAAGGUACC